GACGAACGCUGGCGGCGUGCUUAACACAUGCAAGUCGAGCGGUAAGGCCCUUUGGGGUACACGAGCGGCGAACGGGUGAGUAACACGUGAGUAAUCUGCCUUUGGCUUGGGAAUAACUUCGGGAAAUCGGGGCUAAUGCCUGAUGUUUACUGUCUGCUGCAUGGUGGGUGGUGGAAAGAUUUUUUGGCCAGGAGUGAGCUCGCGGUCUAUCAGCUUGUUGGUGGGGUAA
rnacentral:rRNA from 1 species